rnacentral:RNase_P_RNA from 1 species
AUUCCAAUUUAUUUUGGGGUAGGAAAGUCCGGACACCACAGAGCAGCAAAGCGGGUAACACCCGUCGGUCGCAAGAUCAGGACCAGUGCAACAGAAAGGAUGUAUAUUAAUUUAUAGUGAAAUCAGGUAAACUCUUUGCGGUGCAAUGUUAAGUAUAUCGGAUUUUUUUCAGCAAUGAAAAAUAGGAGUUGCUCGCUCCAAAAACCGAGGGGUAAACAGCUAAAG